rnacentral:sRNA from 1 species
UUUUUUUUCAUUAACUUCAUUUAAUCCCAGUGCAUCACUUGUACCUCUUGCCCCCGGAUUUCCCUUCUGCUGGCCUUUGUCAUGCUGUCCCUCUAGCUGGUGCCCUUCUCCUGUCUACUUCCGUUGGCCAUCGGCAUCCUCCAGGAAGGGUAAUUUGAGUCCUUGGCCAGGUGUGGCCCUUGGUUGGGGCCAGGCUUCCCAGGUGCCUUCUGCAGGCAGGACCAGAGGGUCCUGCCUGCCCCUCACCCGGGGUCCCCAUGCACAGUUGGCCCCCAGUGUUGGCCCCCAGGGCAUCCUUCCCUGUGUCUCAGACCUGAGGCCUUGGGCCCUCCGUGACGGUCCUCCUGACCUCUAGGGAAACUGCUAUGUCUGGAAUCUGACGGGGGGCAUUGGUGACGAGGUGACCCAGCUCAUCCCCAAGACCAAGAUCCCUGCCCACACGCGCUACGCCCUGCAGUGUCGCUUCAGCCCCGACUCCACGCUCCUCGCCACCUGCUCGGCUGAUCAGACGUGCAAGAUCUGGAGGACGUCCAACUUCUCCCUGAUGACGGAGCUGAGCAUCAAGAGCG